GUGUUUAGUUGAAGGGGGCUAAAUCAAGAACUCGAGCAGAAUCGGAGGCUGAGUCAAGAACGAACCGCGCUUAAACGACCGUUGCUAGGUGGUAAGGGCCGGCAUGGACCAGAGCGGUUCAACCUAGCCUAAGGUUAUAGUUUUGGUUCUUAACACAAAGCAAAGGUGGUGGUUCGGGUAUUGACUCAGGACCUAAGUGUUGGUUUCAAG
rnacentral:lncRNA from 1 species